AAUCUCCUCAAAACUUUGAGAAUGGAUCAUUGUUAGCUCAUUUUACAAACAGGAAAAUGAAAGAUUUGAAAGGAGCAUAGCGGCCACCGAUCAUGAACCGACAGAUGCCAGGAAAUCCUUUCCUUGUUUUGAUGAGCCCAACAAAAAGGCAACUUAUACAAUAUCUAUCACCCAUCCCAAAGAAUAUGGAGCACUUUCAAAUAUGCCAGUGGCGAAAGAAGAGUCAGUGGAUGAUAAAUGGACUCGAACAACUUUUGAGAAGUCUGUCCCCAUGAGCACGUACCUGGUGUGCUUUGCUGUACAUCAAUUUGACUCUGUAAAGAGAAUAUCAAAUAGUGGAAAACCUGGACAUAAAUAAUCAUUGAAGAUAAAGAUGGUGUACAGCCUCAUUAAAUUGUUCAAGGAAGAUUGAUCUAGUGCAUCUAGUCAUGAUUGUCAAGUGAAGUCAAGUGUGGCAAAGGGACACAUAAAGGAAGUAAUGGACAAAUGACACAGAGAGAAAGAGAAAGAGCGCGCAAGAGAGAAAUUGAUAG
rnacentral:sRNA from 1 species